AGUGAACGCUGGCGGUAGGCCUAACACAUGCAAGUCGAACGGCAGCACAGUAAGAGCUUGCUCUUACGGGUGGCGAGUGGCGGACGGGUGAGGAAUACAUCGGAAUCUACUUUUUCGUGGGGGAUAACGUAGGGAAACUUACGCUAAUACCGCAUACGACCUACGGGUGAAAGCAGGGGAUCUUCGGACCUUGCGCGAUUGAAUGAGCCGCUGUCGGAGUAGCUAGUUGGCGGGGUGAAGGCCCACCAAGGCGACGAUCCGUAGCUGGUCUGAGAGGAUGGUCAGCCACACUGGAACUGAGACACGGUCCAGACUCCUACGGGAGGCAGCAGUGGGGAAUAUUGGACAAUGGGCGCAAGCCUGAUCCAGCCAUACCGCGUGGGUGAAGAAGGCCUUCGGGUUGUAAAGCCCUUUUGUUGGGAAAGAAAAGCAGCAGGUUAAUACCCCGCUGUUCUGACGGUACCCAAAGAAUAAGCACCGGCUAACUUCGUG
rnacentral:rRNA from 1 species